AACGCACAUUGCGCCCUUUGGUAUUCCGAGGGGCAUGCCUGUUCGAGCGUCAUUAUAACCAAUCAAGCCUGGCUUGGUGUUGGGGUGCGCAUUUCUGCGGCCCCCGAAAUCAGUGGCAGUGCCUAUUUGGCUUCUAAGCGUAGUAAUUUCUCCUCGCUAUAGGGUUCUUGUAGAUGUCGCCAAAAUCCCCCAACUAUUUACGGUUGACCUCGGAUCAGGUAGGGAUACCCGCUGAACUUAA
rnacentral:misc_RNA from 1 species